UUUCCUUGUUUUUCUUUUAUGGUGACAACAACAACAACACCACCACACACCUUACAAGGCCACUUUUUGACCACAAAUUCUACAAUACGUAUUUUGAUAACUUCACUGCUGAUCAUUUGCUUCAAAGAGUUCAGCCAAAAAUCAUAAGGAUUCACGAGUACUAUAACCAGAAACUCGGUGAAAACGGAUCUCGGAAUCUAGGCCUGACGAGGGAUACGCGGAAAUGUAUAAUAUUUAGUCGAAAAACUAAAAAUAUAGAAAUUGUUUUGCCAACAGAUUUUGAUGUGGGAUAUUAUUUGAUCAUGAGA